AGAGUUUGAUUCUGGCUCAGAACGAACGCUGGCGGCGUGGAUAAGACAUGCAAGUCGAACGGAGAUCUUGAAUAGCUUGCUAAUUAAGAUCUUAGUGGCGGACGGGUUAGUAACACGUGAGAACCUACCCUUUAGACAGGAAUAGCCCAUGGAAACGUGGAUUAAUGCCUGAUAGUCUCUACGGAGUAAAUGGUGCCUUCGGGUAUCGCUAGAGGAUGGGCUCGCGGCCUAUCAGCUUGUUGGUGAGGUAAAGGCUCACCAAGGCGACGACGGGUAGCUGGUCUGAGAGGACGAUCAGCAACACUGGAACUGAGACACGGUCCAGACACCUACGGGUGGCAGCAGUCGAGAAUCAUUCACAAUGGAGGCAACUCUGAUGGUGCAACGCCGCGUGGAGGAUGACGGUCCUAGGAUUGUAAACUCCUGUCAUUGGGGAGUAAGACUUAAGCGUUAAGAGCGUUUAAGUUUGAUAGUACCCAAAGAGGAAGGGACGGCUAACUUCGUGCCAGCAGCCGCGGUAAUACGAAGGUCCCAAGCGUUGUUCGGAAUCACUGGGCGUAAAGCGUGUGGAGGCUGCGCGGAAAGUCAAAUGUGAAAGCCCGGGGCUCAACCUCGGAACUGCAUUCGAUACUCCCGUGCUAGAGUAAUGGAGAGGUAAGUGGAAUUCCUGGUGUAGCAGUGAAAUGCGUGGAUAUCAGGAGGAACAUCAAUGGCGAAGGCAACUUACUGGACAUUUACUGACGCUCAGACACGAAGGCUAGGGUAGCGAAAGGGAUUAGAUACCCCUGUAGUCCUAGCAGUAAACGGUGCUCGCUUGGUGUGGGAGGAUUCGACCCCUUCUGUGCCGGAGCUAACGCGUUAAGCGAGCCGCCUGGGAAGUACGGUCGCAAGACUAAAACUCAAAGAAAUUGACGGGGACCCGCACAAGCGGUGGAGUAUGUGGCUUAAUUCGAUGCAACGC
rnacentral:rRNA from 1 species